GGAUUCUUAGCUCAGUUGGUUAGAGCAUCCGGCUCAUAACCGGACGGUUCUCGGUUCGAGUCCGAGGGGAUCCA
rnacentral:tRNA from 5 species